rnacentral:pre_miRNA from 1 species
UAUCUACUCCCUCUGUCCGAAAAAGCUUGUCCCUCAAAUGGAUGUAUCUAGCACCAAGUUAGUGCUAGAUACAUCCAUUUGAUGGACAAGCUUGGGACAAGCUUUUCCGGACGGAGGGAGUAUUAG